rnacentral:lncRNA from 1 species
CACUUACACAAUGAAUUUCUACUCUCAUUACACAUGUUCACAUAUCUGUCAUAUGUUUCAUCCUUUCUUGAUAAUUCAGUGCAGUUUCAUUUUUCCCAUAUCAAGUCACAAAACUUUAGAUUUUGAUAAAAAAUUAAGCAAUAUCUUCCCAUUUAUAUAAUCAGUAUUACAAUUAACUAAGAGAAUUUGAUAAAUAAAUUAUGAACUUUCAACAAUAAAAGUUUAACAAACAACAAGAACAAAUUAAAUACAGCAAACUUGACUUCUCUCUUUUUUGUUCCAGUUUGAAGGCAUGUGUGUGAACUUAUGUCUAGUAAUGGCCUUCCCCUGCUUACCCCAGCACAAAAUAUCUAUUUAUCAAUCCUUUUUACCAGCAAACAAGAAAACUGAAGAAAUUUUAGGUUGGAUGAAUGGUAAAAUAUGUAGGCAUUACAAAUUUAAACAUCCCAAGUAAAAUGAAACAUACUUUUUUGAGCCAUUGCAAGGUUUUUUGAUAAUAACAAUAAUACUAGAUGUAUUGGUCAGCCACCCC